UUCCAAUGUUAAUCGUUCGGCCACCGCUUGCGCGACCGUUGCUGCCGGUUGCCGCCGCCAGGACUCACGGCUUGCUCCCCUCCCUUCGCCUCCGGCUCCUAUCCCAUCCGCAUACUGCCGCGGACGCAUGGCCCAACGAUGCAGCCGCGCGGUCGUCGUCUUCCAUCUCCACGACGAGGUUAGGUAUCGCAUCCCUGAUCCCCCACGCCUACCUUUCUCUCUCUCUCUCCCUGGCCCGCCCAGACUAGAUCUAUUAGGGGGGAGCUCAACUUGUUCGAUACUUCGAUCUGCAACUUGCAACUACAGCCCCAAACUAGAAAUCGCUGUCCUCAUACAGCCCCCAUCUGACUACCAACAGCUAAGCAAAACUAGAUUAUUACUAUGAUUUUUGUGAGGAUCGUCCUUCUUUGACUGGCUUGCCAUAGAGUGGUUUCGAAAGUGACAUUUCCACACCAGCUUUCUGUAUUUAAACUGCAAUUGGUGGAUAUUCGAUUUAUAUUAUAUGUUGUGGGCAUGUGUUUCCAACUCACCCAGCACUACACCAACCCAAAUUGGUGGAUACUAAUCACAUUUUAAGGUGACAAGGGAGCUCUAAUGAAUGGAGCUGCCAGAACCACCACCACUCUGCAACUAAAUCCCAAGAAACAGGUGUUAUUUGUGUUGCUUGGGACAGUGAGGGGAUACUGCAGGAUCAAGUCAGACGACCUGAGAUCAGCUUUUCUCAGGGGAUUGUUCUGCCUCUUCUCAGGGAGCUAGUACUCUACUACAGUACUACUAAGUACGGAUAUUUACAAUUCAAUAGAAACACAACUUACUGAUGGUUCUUGUGUGCUAGAAGCUUUCAUGGGCAUCUAUCUUCCGUUAUUUACUAGUUUGCUUUCUUGUAUAUACAUCAGAACCUGUCCUCAAUAUAUCACAUACAUGUACCUCUUGGUUCAUCAUGAUGUUAUGAACAAUUGAACAAAACAAGUGCAUCUUCAAAGAGAUCGAAGAAGCACAACUUCAACGAAGAGAAGGCAAAGGCUUAACACCUAUUUUUCCAUAUCAGGAUUUGGGCCAAAGAGAAGCUUCCAAGUUUCAAACAUAUGGGCAUGGAAGCUGCUGUAUGGAUUAUUUAAGAUUGUGGGAGACAAGUUAGCACCACUUGUAAUAAGAGAGUAUAGUUCUCUUAUGGGUGUUACGAAAGAUCUCCAGGAGCUUCAAGAUUUAGUUGAGGAGAUCAAAAGCGGGCUACAGGUAGCAGGUGAUAAUGCAAUUGGUAAUAAACCACCAUCUAAUUGGCUAAAAAAAUUGAAAGAUUUUGCUUACGAUCUUGAAGAUUUGGUACAUGAAUUUCAUCUUCAGUCUGAGAAACAUGACACAGAUAAUGAUCGUGACAAGUAUGCUGUGCUCAAAUACAUGCGCACAAAACCAAAACUAGCCAUGUUUCAACUCAAAAUGGCCAACAAGAUAAAGACAAUCAAAAACAGAUUUGCUGCAAUUGUCGAGCAAAGAGGCGAUGUCAAUACUAUAUUGAAUGCUAUACCAAUCGAUCAUAAUGUUCAUAAAAACAAGAUUAUCAGUGAGCCAUCCUUAUUGGGCAAUGUUGAUGACUCAAAAAUACAUGUGAGAUGAGGAGAAGCACAAGAUCAUAUGUAAGUUAAUAGAUGACCAACAGAAAAUCUCAAUAGUUUCAAUUGUUGGACUUGGUGGAACCGGUAAAACUACUAUGGCCACACACAUCUGUCAUGACAACAAAAUAAAAGAGCAUUUUGAAGGCUCAAUAUUUUGGGUUCACGUGUCACAAGAAUUUGAUAAUAACAAACUCGUCGGCAAGCUGUAUGAAGCCAUUUUAAAGAAAACAUCAUAUCUUCGUACCGACCAACAGAUGGUUGAAGCAAUUUCAAACGAGUUGAAUGGGAAUAAGUUUCUACUUGUCUUGGAUGAUGCUUGGCACAAGAAUCAAUAUGACUGGGAACGAUUCAUGCUAUAUCUUAAGAGUGGAUCACCUGGAAGCCGGAUUUUGCUCACAACUCGUGAUCAGGGAGUUGCGGAGGCAGUGGAAUCUACAUGUACAUAUAAGUUGGCUUUCUUGUCAGAUGAGGACAGCUGGAAUUUAUUUCAACAAAGUUUAAGGUUAGCUGCAAAAGGUCUGCCCUCUGAAUUUGUAGAAAUUGGAAGAGAGAUUAUUAAAAAAUGUGGUGGGGUGCCACUGGCAAUUAAAAUUCUUGCAGGUGUCCUCCGUAACAAGAAAACAGUAGAUGCAUGGUGUGCCUUACGUGAUAGUAACAUGUGGAAUGUUGAUGAUAUAGAAGAUAGAGUGUUUGCGUCAUUAAGGCUGAGCUAUUUUCAUCUGCCUGAUCAUCUGAAGCAAUGUUUUGUAUAUUGCUCUAUAUUUCCUAAAGGCUACAAGAUCUACAAACACCAGUUGAUCGGAGAGUGGAUAGCAAAUGGCUUCAUCAAUCCAAUGAAUGAGAUUGAACAAGUAGAGGAUGUUGCAAAUGACUGCUUUGAUUCUCUUCUGAAAGUGCACUUUCUCCAAGAUCUAGAGGUAGAUGAGUAUGAUGAAAUGGAAAUAUGCAAGAUGCAUGACCUGGUUCUUGACCUUACUCGGCAAAUUUUACAGGGUGAAAUGGUGUCUCAUUCUCAGAAUGCAACUAUUGGUAAUUCCCAAAAAUGCAGAUAUUUAUCUUUGGCUUCGUGCAAUGAGAAUAUUGAAGUGAAGUUAUUUAGCAAGGUCCAUGCUAUCUAUAUUUCUGGUGACAACUUCGCACUCAACAAGCCAAUCAAGAAAAGGUGCCAUGUUCGUUCUAUUAUUUUGGAGAGUAUGGGCGCUACUAAUUUGUUGCUUCCAUUGAUACCAAAGUUCGAAUAUCUUAGCUAUUUUCGUAUCUCACACGCUAGCUGUCGAGCCUUUCCAGAAGAAAUCUCACAUUGCUGGAACUUGCAGGCCCUUCAUGUUACAUAUUGCAGGGCACUUACCACAUUACCUGAGUCUAUUGGUAAGCUUAAGAAGCUGAGAACCCUAGAGUUGUCAUGUCUUUUGGAUCUUGAAAGUUUGCCUCAGUCCAUUGGUGACUGUCAUAAUCUUCAAAGCUUUCUCCUGCGUGGCAGUGGUAUCAGGGAGAUACCAAACUCCAUAUGUAAAAUUAAAAAACUAAGAGUGCUUAACAUUAUGCAUUGUCGCUCUUUGAGGCAACAAUGGUCAGAAUUCUUUGGGACGCUUUGCAACUUACAGUCCAUCAACUUAGCACAGAUUGAGGGUAUCCACAACUUGUUCAGUUCAUUUGCUUGUCAUAAACUACGCACUUUGACACUUAGUGGAACCGAAAUUACCAGACUACCGCAAUGCCUCACAUUGGUGAGCACCCUGGAAUACAUAGACCUUCAAAACUGCUGGGGGCUGCUAGAGUUAUCGGAGGGCAUAGGGAACCUAGAGAGGCUUGAAGUUUUGAACCUAAAAGGAUGCUCGAAUUUGGGUGGCCUGCCAGUAGGGAUUGGACAGCUAACUCAUCUUCAAAGGCUGCAUUUGUUUGUUAUAGGUGGCAGUAGCGAGCAUGCAAGAAUAUCAGGGCUUCGAAACCUCAACUUGUUAACCGACAAUGAUCUGGAAAUAAAAAUUAUUAAAUAUGUAGAGGAUCCAGAUGAUGCAGAAAAGGCCUCCCUGAAGGAAAAGAGUGGUAUACUCAAUUUGACAUUGGAUUGGUCUUCAAAUGGUGCAGAAGGGUGCUCGGAUAGUCUGGAAGAAGAGCCAUUAUUAGAUAUGGAAAAGGAGCUGCGUGUGCUCAAUGGUCUUGAACCACCAUCACAAAUUAAGAAGCUGAAUAUCUAUAAUUACAAAGGUAAGCAUUUCUCACGUUGGAUGAUGAAGCAAAGAGAAUCCUCUUGUUCAGAUAGCUUGUUAGAGCAAAUUGAUCCACCUCAUUUCACUCAACUGACUAAACUUGUAUUGGAACAAUUUCCAAACUUGGAGAAUCUGCAAGGACUUGCACGGUUGCCUUCAUUGAAUACUUUUGUAUUGAAAGGAAUGCCUAAUUUGGUGGAGUUGUGGACAAGCUCACCUGCAUUAGUAAGUGGGGAGGAAGGAAAGCCCUGUUGUAUUGAUCACGAACAAGUUGAGCACUGCUUCCCUUUCCUAUCCACUCUAGUCAUGAGUGAUUGUCCUAAGCUGAAGUAAUGCCCAUGUUUCCCACCAUAUUUGGAUAGCUUGACACUGGAACGAAGCAACGAGCAGCUGCUGUCUCAAGUUAGCUUCUCUCAUCCGCUCCAUCCUCUUGACAAGGAAUCCUCAUCCAUCUGCUUUAGUGUGGAUUCCCCUCACCUCAAGAAAUUAGAACUAGGAGGAAUGGCUGGAUCAUCGUCAGGUUGGGAAGUGCUGCAGAACCUCACCGGGCUCGAAUCCUUGUCAAUUUAUUCCAGUGACCUAAGGCAAUUAGGGGAGAUCAUCCGGAGCCUCACCUCCCUCCAGUAUCUUUGUAUCUCGGGUUGCCCAGUUCUUGCCAUGCUGCCAGAGUGGCUGGGGGGAUUCCGCUCUCUGCAAACUCUAGUUCUGAAAGAAAUCCCACUAUUGGCUAGCCUCCCCAAGUCGAUCAUGCUCCUUACAUCCCUGGAGAAGUUGGCUAUUGUUGAAUGCGACAAUCUAAAGGAGUUGCCUGAGGUGGUAAAUCAUCUCACCUCCCUCAAGGAAUUGGAUAUUUCUAGUUGCAGAAAUCUGAGCCAGUUGCCUGAGGGAAUUCAGCAUCUUACCAACCUUGAAGACCUAAGUAUACAGGACUGUCUUGCCCUCCACAAGCUGCCAGAAGGACUGGGGAUGUUAGGUUCUCUAGAGGACCUUAUGAUCAAUAUCUUGCCUGUCCUUACGACCCUUCUGGAGUCCAUGCAGGGGCUCACCUCACUCCGGCACAUCAACUUGAUGAGCUGCCCUAUGCUCACCGUGCUGCCAGAGUCACUCAGACAACUCUCCGCGCUCCGAUCGCUUUAUAUGCAAAGCUGCACUGGCCUUCGAUCCUUGCCCAGCUCCAUACAACACCUUACUUCUCUUCAGCAUUUGGUGAUUAGUUACAACCCUACCUUGAGUAGGCAUUACAAAAAUAGGGUCGGGAAGGACUGGCACAUCAUCUCCCAUAUUCCUGUUGUGGAGAUACGAGAUUAGGGAGCAUGCUGGGCACUAACAACAAAUAAACGAGCAUGGCAAGAACCCCCUGCUGGUGGAGUCGUGGAGCAGAGCAUAUGUGUUCAUG